AUGCUGUUUCUUCUCUAUUUUCUCUCUCUGUCUGUUUAUUUUUGUUGUGUGUCACCUGACCACGUGCUCUGUCUUCCCUCCAUGCUCCGCCCGCCGCCAGAGGUGACCAGGUCCGGCUCUCAGCACGCCGCCGGCCGGGGCCAUGGAGCCCGCCUCCCUGGCCAGACCAGUGCACAGCUUCUCAAGGCCGCCCCUACCCAGGUCCCUCGGGCAGGGCUGGCUGCAUGCCCAGGGGGACCCGCCUGGGAGGUGCCCUGGUCAGCCGGCAGCACCAGCCCCCACGGCCCCGGGCCCGCAGGUAAGAGGUGGGGAGGGGUGGCCCCAGAGGUCCCGGGGAGACUUUGUGUCGCCCCCUCCUUGGCAGAGGUACUUGCAGAGAAGUGGGUCCCUGCUCCUACCAGUUGUAGCAGCUCUUCCCAGGGUACAGAAGCUAAGCAGGUCUGGGACCCCGGCCUCGGCCUGGCUGGUCGUGGGUGGGAACUGGGGGACCCCGGCCUCGGCCUGGCUGGCCGUGGGUGGGAACUGGGGCUUGUGCGCCCAAUCCCGGCGGCCCUGUGUUUCUCACAGGCUGUGCUGCUGCACGCAGAGAAGCUGUUCCUGAACCUUCUCUUUGGGCUGGGAUCGCUGGCGGCUGCAUGCUCUGGGCAUGCUGCCUGCUGCCCACGGUUUCAGAGCUGCCAGCACUCGCUGGGCUCCACCUGCUGCCCCUCCGGGGGUCACAGGCCGCAUGGCUUGGUGGCCGAACUCCACGUGCUGGCUUCUCACAACUGUUACCGUGGCCUUGGCUACCCGCUGCGUCCCUUGGGAGCCCCCACUGGGUUCUGGGGUGCCUGGUGUGGAGGCAGCCCAGGCGGCGAGGUCUGGACUAGCUGGACACCACCGAUGCUCCAGCCAUCACCCCAUCCUGGCCCUCACUGGAGGCAGGGACUCAGGGGCCCGGGGCCUCACGGCCAGUGCUACAGUGGCAGCUCUUGCUCUCUCAGAGGGUCCAGGCCUGGCCUCUGCAGACAACGUGCCUGCAUCUCACACUGGAAAGGGCCUGUCAGGCUGCACCCGGCAGCAGCUUCCUGCAGACCCAGCUCCCACGUGGGACGGCAUCCUGCUGUCUGCUGGCCCCCAGGUGGGGGGGAUGGGUGUGGAGCUGCAGGCAGUGGGCAAGGCCAUGACAGGUGGCCAGGCCUGGGGACCAGCCUCCAGGUGGCAUCCAAGCUGAGGCCUGAGCUCCGGCCGACAGGGCUGAGGAUGCAGGGGAUGAGCCAGGGGCCGUGUGGGAGAGCCCUGGAUCCCCAUCUGAGAGUGACCCUGAUGGACAGGGAGGAGCCCCAUCUGAGUUACCCCGAUGGACAGGGAGAUGUGGCAGAGGUGGGGCCGUGUGGGGCCUGGUGCUCCUCCUGCAUGUGGUGGCACCGGAGCGCCUCCUAG
rnacentral:lncRNA from 1 species